AGGUUGAACGCUGGUCGGCAUGCUUUACACAUGCAAGUCGAACGGCGAGCACGGGGGCAACCCCUGGUGGCGAGUGGCGAACGGGUGAGUAAUGCAUCGGAAUCUGCCCUGAUGUGGGGGAUUAACGUAGGGAAACUUACGCUUAAUACCGCAUACGACCGAGAGGUGGAAAGCGGGGGACCGAAAGGCCUCGCGCAGCAGGAUGAG
rnacentral:rRNA from 1 species